rnacentral:lncRNA from 11 species
CUUGAUUAUAAAAAUCUAUGCAACUUUCAGCUUUUAAAUGCAAGAAGCAGAAAUAGUGUUUCUCUCAACAUUCAUCUUACAGUGUGUCUGUUUGCUGAUACUAAAGUGAAUUUGACAUAAUGCUGGAAUGCAUGGUUUCACACUGUCUAAUGGAAUUAAGCAGACCAGAAAAGCAUUUUCCUGGAAAACGCAAUGUAUUUAUUUGUAGCUCAGCAGAAGGACAGAAAAUAGCACGUACAUGAAUUUUGCUGAGAAUACAGUGUGCCGAGUGUAGAUGAAAGAACACACACACCAAGAUGUGUUUGUAAGUAUUCUAAUUACAGGGGGAUCACAGAUAUUA